rnacentral:rRNA from 1 species
CAGUAGCGCGGUAAUACGUAGGUGGCAAGCGUCGUCCGGAAUUAUUGGGCGUAAAGCGCGCGCAGGCGGAUCAGUCAGUCUGUCUUAAAAGUUCGGGGCUUAACCCCGUGAUGGGAUGGAAACUGCCAAUCUAAAGUAUCGGAGAGGAAAGUGGAAUUCCUAGUGUAGCGGUGAAAUGCGUAGAUAUUAGGAAGAACACCAGUGGCGAAGGCGACUUUCUGGACGAAAACUGACGCUGAGGCGCGAAAGCCAGGGGAGCGAACGGGAUUAGAUACCCCUGUAGUCCCUGUCUCUUAUACAC